UACGUAGGGUGCAAGCGUUAAUCGGAAUUACUGGGCGUAAAGCGUGCGCAGGCGGUGAUGUAAGACAGAUGUGAAAUCCCCGGGCUCAACCUGGGAAUGGCAUUGGAAACUGGCGGACUAGAGUGUGGCAGAGGGGGGUGGAAUUCCGCGUGUAGCAGUGAAAUGCGUAGAGAUGCGGAGGAACACCGAUGGCGAAGGCAGCCCCCUGGGCUAACACUGACGCUCAGGCACGAAAGCGUGGGGAGCAAACAGG
rnacentral:rRNA from 1 species